rnacentral:rRNA from 1 species
GACGAACGCUGGCGGCGUGCUUAACACAUGCAAGUCGAACGGAAAGGCCCUGCUUUUGUGGGGUGCUCGAGUGGCGAACGGGUGAGUAACACGUGGGUAACCUGCCCUUGACUUUGGGAUAACUUCAGGAAACUGGGGCUAAUACCGGAUAGGAGCUCCUGCUGCAUGGUGGGGGUUGGAAAGGUUCGGCGGUUGGGGAUGGACUCGCGGCUUAUCAGCUUGUUGGUGGGGUAGUGGCUUACCAAGGCUUUGACGGGUAGCCGGCCUGAGAGGGUGACCGGCCACAUUGGGACUGAGAUACGGCCCAGACUCCUACGGGAGGCAGCAGUGGGGAAUAUUGCACAAUGGGCGGAAGCCUGAUGCAGCAACGCCGCGUGCGGGAUGACGGCCUUCGGGUUGUAAACCGCUUUCGCCUGUGACGAAGCGUGAGUGACGGUAAUGGGUAAAGAAGCACCGGCUAACUACGUG